CUUCUCAAUCAAAAUGGCUCGUACGAAGCAAACAGCUGGCAAGUCCACCGGAGGAAAGGCUCCAAGGAAACAGCUUGCCACAAGAUCCUGGAAUCAUCUUGCAAAAGCAGAAUUUGUUGUUCAUGGGAUUGACUACGAAGGCCGUGGAAGGUUCCCGAUGAUCGAAAAUAUGUGGUUGUCUUGGGUACAUGCUGUUUACAGCGCAAGGAGCAUCGCCUCUCUGCUUUCUCGCUCUCUGGGUUUGAGUGGUCCGAAUCCUGUCCCGGCCGUUGCUGUUUUCCUUCUUUCCAAGCAUAUAUGGCCAAAGAAAGGAAAGCUGGAGAAGUUGUUGCUCUAAAGAAGAUACGUAAACCAACAGUUCAUUGAGUUAUCAGAUUGCAUAAAUGCUUGUAAUAUUUGCAUUAGAGAAAGUUUUGCUUGUAUGGUAUCAACCCUUGCCAUUAAGAAUUAUCAAAAUGCAACUAUCAUGAUGAGUGUGAUAUGAACUUGAGCUGUUGCUUGCUCAGCUAGAUAUUCUUUGCAGAACUGCCUCAAGUUUUAUAGUCUGAUCAGGAAGUGAAAUGCAUUGUGAUGUAUGAACCUCAUUGGUCAGGACAAAGUGUUGAGUUGUUAAGAAAACAACUUUUAUCAUAUCAAUUCUUGACAAUAACAUGUUUCAAAAUCAGCAAGACUAACAGCUUUUAAAUAAAAUGUUUUGGAAACACUGAUUAGAAGAAAAAGAUGCAAAACACAUUUGCUUCUCUUAGUUUCGUACCUUGUGCUGUCUAAAUAUGUACAUGGUUCUUGUGUUUGGUGAACCUAUUAAUGUAGAAAUCAUCAAAGAUCAUCAGUAAUAUGUCAGGAGCUUGACUUUCAGGGAGUGUUUGUCUGUUCUUUUCUUUUUUAGCUGAUGUAUCAUGAAUAAAAACUUUGAUGAACCUUUUGCAGCUGCUAGGUAAUAUUACUAAAAUUUUGCUUGUUGAACCAACCGUCCUUGAAUUUAUGAAGUUGGGCUUACUUAUCUGUCUAAGGUGAAAUUAAAUGUGCAUUAUAGCUCAUUGUUUGCAUUGCUGUGGAUUUUGGUGCUUGGAUAACAUUGAAUUGUCCUUGUUACUUUUCGCCUUUUCAUCAGCAUCUACCUAAUAACUCAUUUUCUUGCAGCUCCCUUCUUCUUGUAGAGACAAAAUAUCUAUCAAGCUUGCGCCAAAGAAGUGGCCACAUGAAGUGUUAUCUUCUUUGUCUGGGAUUUUGGCUCCUCUUCCAAUUGGAUUUGCAGUUUUCUUAGUUCAAUUGGCCAGCAUCCCUGUUACGGGCACUGGCAUCGACCCUGCAAGAAGUCUUGGUGUAGCCAUUAUCUUCAAUAGAGACCUUGGAUGGAAUGAUCAUGUAUCUAAGCCUAUAAUGAUUGUGUCUUCAUUUUCCCAGUAUCUAUUCAUAUUCUUAGCUAAAUAACUAUUUUAUCUCUGGUUUUCAGUGGGUCUUCUAGGUUAGACCCUUCAUUGGAGCUGCUCUUGCUGCAGUGUAUCAUUAGAUAGUGAUCAAGGCCAUUCCUUAUAAGAGCCAGGCUUAAAAGGGAUCAAAUUUUUUAGCCUUUUAGUGAUCCUCAUCUUGUUAUCUAUACAUUUAUUAAAUGGACAAAGAUAUCAUCUAUUAAUUUUUCUU